UGCUGUGGUUGAGACUAGAUUGAAGAGGUGGGGAGUAAAGCAGAGGGACCAGUCAGGAGUCUGCUGCAGAAGUCCAAGUGAGAGGCCACAGCAGAUCGGGCUGGGGUGGCAACAGUGGUGAGCUCAGAGGUGGCUGGAUUCUGCAUGUAUAUUGAAGGUAGAAGCAACAAGUUUUGGUGCCCAGGUUGGAUACAGGGUAGAAAAGAAGGCUCAAGAUGCUAAAGGUUUUGAUGUAAGAGAAAUAACAUCCUAUCGGUAUACUGGACAUAGGAAUGAUCAGCCAAAGGAGAAGAGGAACUGGUGGCACUUGGGGGAAUGCUGAGCAUUUACCCAGAGUACAAUAUGUAGGUUACAAGAGCCCAUGGCAAACUGGAGAGGCCCUGAGGAAUGUUUGCUGGAUCUUCCUACAACUGUGUUGCCCUGGCUCCUGUGACACCUUUGUUUCCAGGAAAGCAGUGAGGAGAAGGCUGUUUAUGGUGUGACCAGAGUGCUGAGCACAGCAGUCAGUGAACCGCGUGCCCGACAGUCUGCGAUCCCACCACAGGGGCCUCACAGGGUUCUGUCCACAAGGGAAUCACAGACAGGAAGAGUCCAACCAGUUACUUAUCAACUGCUUCACCUUGGGUACAAUGGACAUGUGAGCCGUCACUGGCUUCCUUGGCUCUCCAAUCCCUGCUUUAGGUCAGCGGGGGCAUGGCGAGCUGCUGUCUAUAGUCGCUAGUUAAACUCCAGGCUCCCAGUGGCUCAGUGGGCUGAAAUCUUGAUGUCCAGCACAGCAGACAAAUGCCUGAGACAGCAGUCCCAGGAAGCAGAAUGCUCCUGCUACCAAAACGCUGAGAGCGCUUAUGCAGUACGCUCCCAUGGCAGAGUCUCACCCGCGCCCACCAACUUCCUGCUCACCUGUUCUGGAAGCUCUUACCACGUGUCAAUUAGUGCCUGUGGGGCACAUGAAUUCUGGAUUAAAUGGAAACAACGACCUCA